rnacentral:lncRNA from 1 species
UACAAUCAAACUUAAAACUCAGGAACAUUAGCAAACCUAGGGUUAAAGAUGAUGGCCACCUGAUAUCUAUAAAUAGGAUCAUUUUUCACAUGUAAAAGAUACCAUUCACUUAAUUGAGAAUUAGUCUUUUAAACUCAGUUUAGUUCUUUCUUUUCUUAGGUUAUAUUUAUUUCUAUUUGUUCUUUGUUCUAUUUAAAGAGAUCUGAAUUGUUGAGGCAAUCAAACUUUGUGGAUUCGCUAUCAAUCUUAAUACAAUCAGCUCCUCC